GCUGGGUCGCGAACUGGUACGUGGUAAUUCGUAUUUGUGAGAUAUACGUCUUAUAUUUUUUCCGAUUUCAACCCUCUCGAAGUGAAUUUCGUGUGCAUUAUCGUCGAGAGUGCCGUGCAUUUAUUAAUUCGUGUGUGACCCUUAAAUAUCCGCCGAAUAAAUAUCGCGAGGAGAGUUGUCGAAGAUGUUCAGUACGAUCGAUUGUCGAAUCGUCAUAAUGUGUCAUAAUCCGUCAAAUUUUAUCAACUUGUUGUGAUAAUGUUCCCGCGCGAAUCUGCCCGCAAGAUGUCGGAAAUGUCGGACAGACGCGUAUCGCGGCGAUGCUACCAUCUGACGUGACGUCGGCACGUCAACAACGUUACGGUCCGGACGUGUGUGGAAGUUUCGAAAAGAGGUACGGAUUCGAAUGCGCGGCCUGCCAACGAGGUAAGUGCCCGUUGUACCGCGUCGUGCGGAUUAACAACGCGAGUGAGAGUUAACCUGAAAAUGGCCGAAUCGCGCGACUCGAUUGUGGUGUCAAGUGCGGUGACCGGUGCUGUGUCUGUGCAUGGACAGUCAAUUCUGCCGGAUUCGGUGACCCAGGGGAACGAGGAUCCAUCCGACCGUCUUGCUGAACAGGAUACAAAGACUUUUGUAACGAAGACUGCAAAUAACGAGCAAACCAAGAUGCAAAGUAACGGCGAUACCGGUG